rnacentral:tRNA from 1 species
GGAGAUAGCUCAGUGGUAGAGUGCCUGCCUAGCAUGCACAAGGUCCUGGGUUCAAUCCCCAGUGCCUCCA